rnacentral:misc_RNA from 1 species
GAUGAAGAACGUAGUGAAAUGCGAUACUUGGUGUGAAUUGCAGAAUCCCGUGAACCAUCGAGUCUUUGAACGCAAGUUGCGCCCGAAGCCAUUAGGCCGAGGGCACGCCUGCCUGGGCGUCACACGUCGUUGCCCCCCCCAUCUACUCCUUCGGGAUUGCGGGGGGCGGAUGAUGGCCUCCCGUGCGCCUCGCCGCGCGGUUGGCAUAAAUGCCAAGUCCUCGGCGACGCACGCCACGACAAUCGGUGGUUGCGAAACCUCGGUUGCCCGUCGUGUGCGGUCGUCGCGCAUCGAGGGCUCGAAAAAAUUGCCGGGUUCCGGCUCGGCUUUCAACGCGACCCCAGGUCAGGCGGGGUUACCCGCUGAAUUUAAGCAUAUCAAUAAGCGGAGGA